rnacentral:rRNA from 1 species
CCUACGUGAGGCAGCAGUGAGGAAUAUUGGUCAAUGGUCGCAGGGCUGAACCAGCCAAGUCGCGUGCGGGAUGACGGCCCUAUGGAUUGUAAACUGCUUUUGUCCGGGGGUAAAGUGCGUCACGUGUGAUGUUUUGCGUGUACCUCAUGAAUAAGGAUCGGCUAAAUCCGUGCCAGCAGCCGCGGUAAUACGGAGGGUCCGAGCGUUAUCCGGAUUUAUUGGGUUUAAAGGGAGCGUCGGCCGCAUGUUAAGCGCGCGGUGAAAUUCCGUGGCUCAAACGUCGCACUGCCGUUGAAACUGGCGUGCUUGAGUGAGCGGAAGGUAGGCGGAAUGCGUGGUGUAGCGGUGAAAUGCGUAGAUAUCACGCAGAACUCCGAUUGCGAAGGCAGCAUACGGGAGCGCAACUGACGCUCAAGCUCGAAGGCGUGGGUAUCGAACAGGAUUAGAUACCCGAGUAGUC